rnacentral:misc_RNA from 1 species
ACGACCACCAGUGGCUACCAUGAGUUGUCGUUGCUUGCCAUCGAACAAACACACAAAGAGGAACGUCUAAAUUAGAGUGGAAUCCUUAGAAUCCACCUCAAGGAUUUGGUAUAGAAACAAGCUCUCAAUCAUUUCUUUUGUAGUUUCUCUGAGAUAGUAUUGACUUCUAUGCAUUUCUUCUAGUGAGUUUGAGCUUCUCUUAGUAUCUCUUGUGUUUUCGGUAUUGUAAUAGGAUGUUUUACACUUCCUUUGAAAAACUUUUAAUUUUGA